rnacentral:rRNA from 1 species
AUUGAACGCUGGCGGCAGGCCUAACACAUGCAAGUCGAACGAGUGGCGGACGGGUGAGUAAUGUCUGGGAAACUGCCUGAUGGAGGGGGAUAACUACUGGAAACGGUAGCUAAUACCGCAUACCAUCGGAUGUGCCCAGAUGGGAUUAGCUAGUAGGUGGGGUAACGGCGCACCUAGGCGACGAUCCCUAGCUGGUCUGAGAGGAUGACCAGCCACCCUGGAACUGAGACACUGUCCAGACUCCUACGUGAGGCAGCAGUGGGGAAUAUUGCACAAUGGGCGCAAGCCUGAUGCAGCCAUGCCGCGUGUAUGAAGAAGGCCUUCGGGUUGGAAAGUACGUUCAGCGGUGAGGCGUUACCCGCAGAAGAAGCACCGGCUAACUCUGUGCCAGCCGCCGCGGUAAUUC